CAGUCGCCACGGGAAUACGUAGGGUGCGAGCGUUAAUCGGAAUUACUGGGCGUAAAGCGUGCGCAGGCGGUUUGUUAAGACAGAUGUGAAAUCCCCGGGCUUAACCUGGGAACUGCAUUUGUGACUGGCCGGCUAGAGUAUGGCAGAGGGAGGUGGAAUUCCACGUGUAGCAGUGAAAUGCGUAGAUAUGUGGAGGAACACCGAUGGCGAAGGCAGCCCCCUGGGAUAAUACUGACGCUCAUGCACGAAAGCGUGGGGAGCAAACAGGAUUAGAUACCCCGGUAGUCCCUGUCUCUUAUAA
rnacentral:rRNA from 1 species